UCACCCCGUCUCUCUUUCGUCUCCCAAGACCCAAAUCCCAUUUCCCAAUUUUUUUUUCUCUCUAAUUGGCUCUGUGAAUGUUGCUGCAGGGCAGAACGCACCAGUCCAGCCUCCAAGCUCCCCUUUCUCUGACACAACACUAUGUGGACUGGGGCGGACCACAAACAAGAAAAACUGCACGGAACAAGCAUACGCCCCGUGCAGCUUUAGACUGGAACAAUGGGUGUUGAUCUGAACCUGAGGAGCACAACAGCAAAUCACCAGAAAUGGCACUCACCUGGAUCUGGAGCAUCUGGCUGAAGGGCGGGGAAGUCAUUAUCAAAAAGAAACGUGCUCUCAUAUUCUGGAUUUACCUGGAGAAAAACAGACACAGAGAUAUCAAACAAUGGGAGAAAACAACCCAAAAUCUAUUUUGUGGUCCAAAGCGGCUAUCGUUUAUGGCAUAUGUUUGGUAGCUGCAUGUGUCCAGAUAUGUAUCAAACAUUCCCUGUGCAAUAAAUAAUAUGGGUAAAUUAUGCUUUUUAUGAAAUGGUUUAUUAUAUGAUUAAUAGCCACCCACUGCAUAGAACCCCCUUGACUGCAGAGCAGUAGGCUAUGGAUGAAACAACAAGUUUGGGUUUACUGCUUGCUGCCAUCGUCUCAGUUGUUGGAGGCCUAUAUAUGUAUGCAUUGU